GGAUUCGAAUAAGGGUUCAGUGACUAAGUGAAAGCAAUAAGUAUCCCACCUGGGGAGUACGUUCGCAAGGAUGAAACUCAAAGGAAUUGACGGGGGCCCGCACAAGCGGUGGAGCAUGUGGUUUAAUUCGAUGAUACGCGAGGAACCUUACCAAGGCUUAAAUGGGAAUUGACAGGCUCAGAAAUGAGUUUUUCUUUCGGGACAAUUUUCAAGGUGCUGCAUGGUUGUCGUCAGCUCGUGCCGUGAGGUGUCAGGUUAAGUCCUAUAACGAGCGCAACCCCUAUCAUUAGUUGCCAACGAGUAAUGUCGGGAACUCUAAUGAGACUGCCAGUGUAAACUGUGAGGAAGGAGGGGAUGAUGUCAAAUCAUCACGGCCCUUACGUCUUGGGCUACACACGUGCUACAAUGGCCGGUACAGAGGGCAGCUACACUGCGAAGUGAUGCGAAUCUCGAAAACCGGUCUCAGUUCGGAUUGGAGUCUGCAACUCGACUCUAUGAAGCUGGAAUCGCUAGUAAUCGCAAAUCAGCCAUGUUGCGGUGAAUACGUUCCCGGGCCUUGUACACACCGCCCGUCAAGCCAUGGAAGUUGGGGGUACCUG
rnacentral:rRNA from 1 species